AUUGAACGCUGGCGGCAGGCUUAACACAUGCAAGUCGAGCGAGCGGCGGACGGGUGAGUAAUGUAUGGGGAACUGCCCGAUGGAGGGGGAUAACUACUGGAAACGGUGGCUAAUACCGCAUACUAUCGGAUGAACCCAGAUGGGAUUAGCUAGUAGGUGGGGUAAAGGCUCACCUAGGCGACGAUCUCUAGCUGGUCUGAGAGGAUGAUCAGCCACACUGGAACUGAGACACGGCCCAGACUCCUACGGGAGGCAGCAGUGGGGAAUAUUGCACAAUGGGCGCAAGCCUGAUGCAGCCAUGCCGCGUGUAUGAAGAAGGCCUUCGGGUUGUAAAGUACUUUCAGCGGGGAGGCGUUACCCGCAGAAGAAGCACCGGCUAACUCCGUGCCAGCCGCCGCGGUAAUUC
rnacentral:rRNA from 1 species